rnacentral:rRNA from 1 species
GUCCAGACUCCUACGGGAGGCAGCAGUGGGGGAUAUUGCACAAUGGGGGGAACCCUGAUGCAGCGACGCCGCGUGGGUGAAGGAGCGUUUCGGCGCGUAAAGCCCUAUCGGCAGGGAAGAAGGAGGACGGUACCUGCAGAAGAAGCCCCGGCUAACUACGUGCCAGCAGCCGCGGUAAUACGUAGGGGGCAAGCGUUAUCCGGAUUCAUUGGGCGUAAAGCGCGCGCAGGCGGGCCGCUAAGCGGGACCUCUAAUGUUGGGGCUCAACCUCAAGCCGGGUCCCGAACUGGCAGCCUCGAGUGCGGUAGGGGUAAGCGGAAUUCCCGGUGUAGCGGUGGAAUGCGCAGAUAUCGGGAAGAACACCGAUGGCGAAGGCAGCUUACUGGGCCGACACUGACGCUGAGGCGCGAAAGCUAGGGGAGCGAACAGGAUUAG